rnacentral:rRNA from 1 species
UACGGGGGGAGCAAGCGUUGUUCGGAUUUACUGGGCGUAAAGGGCGCGUAGGCGGUCAGCACAAGUCAGUUGUGAAAUCUCCGGGCUUAACUCGGAAAGGUCAACUGAUACUGUGCGACUAGAGUGCAGAAGGGGCAACUGGAAUUCCUGGUGUAGCGGUGAAAUGCGCAGAUAUCAGGAGGAACACCGGUGGCGAAGGCGGGUCUCUGGGCCGAAACUGACGCUGAGGAGCGAAAGCGUGGGGAGCAAACAGG